rnacentral:lncRNA from 1 species
ACCCGCCAGGAGGUGCAUUUCUAGUUCUCCCCCCGUACCAACCCGCCCUCUCCCUGUGAUUGCAGAAACAGACGGCAGCCGAGAGGGGGAAGAUCGUCUGGGAGUGGCAGGAGCUGCGAGGGUUUCUGGAGGGGCAGGAGCAGCGGCUGCUGUCCCGGCUGGAAGAGCUCGAGAGAGCCAUUGCCCAGAGAAGGGAUGAGGGCGUCUGCAGCCUGUCCCGGGGGAUUUCCCUGCUCAGGGAGAGGGGAGGAGACGAGGGGCAGCAGCCGCUGAGCCAGUCCCUGCAGGUCAGACUUGUUGCAAUGAUCGUACGCAGCGUUCCUAUAGCACAGAGGGUGCCGGGAGCUGUGGGGGCAGGUAAGUCCUGGGCUCUGUCUCACUCCCCUCGUGGUGUGUUAGGUCUGGUAACUGCACUGAAUACGGAGCUUCCCCCAGCCCCUGCAGUGUGAUGCCGGCUUAGAGCCUGUGAGUCUGUCUCCCCUAGCGGCUGCCUCAGCAGGGGACGGACCCUGUUACUCUCGGGCAGCUGAUACGGUCCCACCAGGGCUGUCAGACGUAUGGGCCAGACCGGGCCUGUCUGACAUAUUUAUGUAGCCACAUCACUUAUUCACGGUGUGCAGAAUCUCAGCCUUCCAUUUUUUUUUUAAAGUAAGUUUCUAGCCUUCCUGGUUACAAAGAAACCCUCCCAAAUAGACACGGAGACAGUGUUGCCUUCCUGAGUCUGCAGACAGCCUGAAACAGCAGCUCAGAGAAGCGUGAAUGCCCUUGGCCUCCGUUAAUCUCAUUGGAGUGUCCGCAUAGACGCUGACUUCCUUUAUUCCCGGGAGGCGGGGGUGGUGCUUGAUCCCAGAGUCUCCCCUUUGUGCCUGGGUGUCCUGCUGUGAAUGGAGGUGUGGUGCAGAGUCUUAAAUUGAUGCCCUGGCUCCCUGACUGUAUCAGAAAGUGGAAUACGGCCCUGUCCUCCAAAUGAGCUGGACACCCCAGGGUUACUGCUUCAGCGGAAGGGCUCAGGGUUUUUGGUGUUAAGGGUCCACGUUCAUUCCCUGCUGAAGAUACGGCCUCUGUCUGUGUCCACACUGAGUAUGUGGGACACACCCAUUCUUUGGUCUGUGUCUCCUCCCUUUCCACGUAAUCCCAGUGCUGGUGCCCCAUGUUACCGGUAUUUCCCAGUGUGGGAGGUGGCUGUGAACAUAAGAAUGGCCAGACUGGGUCAGACCAAACUGUCCAUCUAGCCCAGUAUCCUGUCUUCUGACAGUGGCCAAUGCCAGAUGCCCCAGAGGGAAUGAACAGAACAGGGAAUCAUCAAGUGAUCCAUCCCCUGUCCCCCAUUCCCAGCUUCUGGCAAACAGAGGCUAGGGACACCAUCCCUGCCCAUCCUGGCUAGUAGCCAUUGAUGGACCUAUACGCCAUUAACUUAUCUACUUCUUUUUUUUAACCCUGUUAUAGUCU